CUUCGCAGCCCGUGGAGGACCACCCAGCAGGGUCCUGGGCCCACAGCCAGGCCUUUACUGCUCCUGGGGCUGUGCCACGUGCUGGACGGGGGUCUGGGCCACCUCCUCCCUGAAGCCCAUCAGGCAGGCAAGACCCGGGUCUGACAGCAGAAGGCCGGGAUGCUCCCUGGGUAGGGAAGCCAAGUAACUACCAGUUGAAGGGUCAUCCCCAAAGCAGCAUCUACUGGAGUAGAAAGAACCCAGGAUUGGGUCAGGUCUAAUUUUGAAUCCAAACUGCUCCAUUUCUGGCUGCAUAGCUUGGGGUCCUUUUUCCUCAUCCGCCAGACGCCUGUUACUCACCAGGCUCUCUGAAGCUGUGGGAUUUGAUGAACCCGAAGUAGUAUCAGGCCCAAGUCUGGAGCUGCACAGACUGGAGUGUCUCCUGUCUGUGUUGAGGAAGGGGGGCACCCCUGUGGGCCUGAGCUGGGCUAAGACAUGAGGCCACCCCCUCUUUUCUUUUCUCCACCAUCGCGAUGUGUUCUUGCCUCUGCUUCUCGCCAUGUCUUCUCACAAGACUUUCAGGAUUAAGCGAUUCCUGGCCAGGAAACAAAAGCAAAAUCGUCCCAUUCCCCAGUGGAUUCAGAUGAAAACUGGAAAUAAAAUCAGGUACAACUCCAAAAGGAGACAUUGGAGAAGAACCAAGCUGGGUCUGUAAGGAAUUACAUGAGAUGGCACACAUAUUUGUGCUGUCUGAAGGUCACGAUCACAUUACCAUAUCAAACUGAAAAUGUCACCACUAUCUGGAGAGUUCGACGUGUUUUCCUCUCUGAAUCUAUUAUGAAUGCGUUGGUUGGCUGAGUUCAGUAAUAAAUAUGUGAGGCCUUUCAUUUCAAAAAAAAAAAAAAAAA